UACGUAGGGUGCGAGCGUUGUCCGGAAUUAUUGGGCGUAAAGGGCUCGUAGGCGGUCUGUCACGUCGGGAGUGAAAACACGGGGCUUAACCCCGUGCCUGCUUCCGAUACGGGCAGACUAGAGUGUGGUAGGGGAGAUCGGAAUUCCUGGUGUAGCGGUGGAAUGCGCAGAUAUCAGGAGGAACACCGGUGGCGAAGGCGGAUCUCUGGGCCAUAACUGACGCUGAGGAGCGAAAGCAUGGGGAGCGAACAGG
rnacentral:rRNA from 1 species